rnacentral:rRNA from 1 species
CAGUCGCCACGGUAAUACGUAGGGUGCGAGCGUUAAUCGGAAUUACUGGGCGUAAAGGGCUCGCAGGCGGUUUCUUAAGUCUGAUGUGAAAGCCCCCGGCUCAACCGGGGAGGGUCAUUGGAAACUGGGAAACUUGAGUGCAGAAGAGGAGAGUGGAAUUCCACGUGUAGCGGUGAAAUGCGUAGAGAUGUGGAGGAACACCAGUGGCGAAGGCGACUCUCUGGUCUGUAACUGACGCUGAGGAGCGAAAGCGUGGGGAGCGAACAGGAUUAGAUACCCCAGUAGUCCCUGUCUCUUAUAC